rnacentral:tRNA from 1 species
AGAGAUUGUAGGAUCGAGGCCUGCCUGUCUAG